rnacentral:lncRNA from 1 species
AAUGCAGUAUUCUCUGAUGUGAAACCCAUAUGCAGGUUCUGCAGGGCCAGUUGCAGGACUUGAGCAUGCACGGAUUUGGGUUCGCAUGGGGUGUCCUAACCAGUCCCCUGAGUAUUCUGAGGGCCUUGACUGUACUUUUCAGCCUGCCACAGUAUUGCUUAUUUUAUUGUUUUUUUAGAUGUUGUUUGCUAAUUGAUUCUUAUUUUCAAAUGUCUUCUACAUGUUACAUGUUUUCUUUACCAGGAUGACUAUCAAAAUUAAGUUUCAUUUUGUUGCCUUUUAGCCCUCCAGAAGUUGCAAGUAGAACAAGAGGAAAACAGGUUUAGUUUCAGGCAUUCUACAUCUGUUUCUAGUCUAGCUGAAAGAUUGGUUGUCUGGAUGACUAAUGUAGGAUUCACUUUAAGAGAUUUGGAAACUCUUCCCUUUGGAAUUGCUCUUCCCAUCAGAGAUGCAAUUUAUCACUGUCGUGAGCAGCCUGCCUCAGACUGGCCAGAAGCUGUCUGUCUCUUGAUUGGACGUCAGGAUCUUUCCAAGCAGGCCUGCGAAGGAAACUUACCCAAAGGGAAGUCUGUGCUCUCAUCAGAUGUUCCUUCAGGAACAGAAACUGAGGAGGAAGAUGAUGGCAUGAAUGACAUGAAUCACGAGGUCAUGUCAUUAAUAUGGAGUGAAGAUUUAAGGGUGCAGGAUGUGCGAAGGCUUCUUCAGAGUGCGCAUCCUGUCCGUGUCAACGUAGUGCAGUACCCAGAGCUCAGUGACCACGAGUUCAUCGAGGAAAAGGAAAACAGGCCACAGAAAUGGUACUUCUGA